rnacentral:rRNA from 1 species
UUACGGGAGGCAGCAGUGGGGAAUCUUAGACAAUGGGCGCAAGCCUGAUCUAGCCAUGCCGCGUGAGCGAUGAAGGCCUUAGGGUUGUAAAGCUCUUUCGUGGGGGAAGAUAAUGACUGUACCCCAAGAAGAAGCCCCGGCUAACUCCGUGCCAGCAGCCGCGGUAAUACGGAGGGGGCUAGCGUUGUUCGGAAUUACUGGGCGUAAAGCGCACGUAGGCGGACUGGAAAGUCAGAGGUGAAAUCCCAGGGCUCAACCUUGGAACUGCCUUUGAAACUCCCAGUCUUGAGGUCGAGAGAGGUGAGUGGAAUUCCGAGUGUAGAGGUGAAAUUCGUAGAUAUUCGGAGGAACACCAGUGGCGAAGGCGGCUCACUGGCUCGAUACUGACGCUGAGGUGCGAAAGCGUGGGGAGCAAACAGGAUUAGAUACCCCGGU